GGGGGCGAUCUGGGUUCGACGGGGGUGCGAAGUCAAGUCGGCAUGCCGGGGUCCUGUUAUCCCGUUAAACAAGCAGGCUGCAAAACUAACUGCAGAUAAUUUUGAAUACAAACUGGCUGCCUAACCGCAGCUAGCGUUCUACCGGCCUUCUCCCGCGGGGUCGGAUAGGGCGUCGAUUAGCGGGAUGGGCCGAUUCUCCUGCCGGAGGGGAUGAGGCUGAGAUCUAAACCGGCUGGUCUUCGGAGAGCCUGCCUGUGGGCGCUUCGCGGACGAGAUCAAAACAUCGGCUAAGCAUGUAGUUCGGCUUGGCGUAACGCCUUCGGACGGGGGUUCAAUUCCCCCCGCCUCCACCA
rnacentral:tmRNA from 1 species